CACUGCCAUUGAAACCGCGACAGCACGACGUGGUCGUCCCGACUGUUGAUAAAUUUGCCACGUCCACUCGUAACGGUCUGCGAACAUCGCUAUUUUUAUUACAUCAUUUUGCUGCAAUUUUUGCAGGUUGGCAGUUAUAUUUCGAUAUUGUCAGAGGAUUAUUAAACGAGACGAUUGCCACUAUAUUAUUAUUGUCAGCACAUAUUAUCACGUUAGUCGCAUAUUAAAUUGUCAGCACAAUAGUAGGUGUAUUUAUAAAAUUAAAAUAAACUCAUUGUGUAUAGAUAUACCUAACGCGCGAACAAGCUAUUCGUUCCUAUACAAUAAU